GCGGCCGUGACCCUGCUGGAGUGUGGGGGGAACCUCCAGCCCACCGGGGGGUCCCUGACUCUGCUCUGCCGCGGCAAUGGAUUCGAUUUCGGACAAUUCGGGCUGGGCUGGUUCCGUCAGAGCCCUGGGAAGGCGCUGGAAUUCGUCGCAGAUAUCAGCAGCGGUGGCAUCACCCGGUACGCACCCUCAGUCAAGGGCCGGUUCUCGAUCUCCAGGGACAACGGACAGAGCUCGGUGACGCUGACCAUGAACAACCUCAAGGACGAGGAUUCCGCCGUUUAUUUCUGCGCCAAAUAUGCUGGUGAGCUUUGA